rnacentral:rRNA from 1 species
GACGAACGCUGGCGGCGUGCUUAACACAUGCAAGUCGAACGGAAAGGCCCUGCUUUUGUGGGGUGCUCGAGUGGCGAACGGGUGAGUAACACGUGAGUAACCUGCCCUUGACUUUGGGAUAACUUCAGGAAACUGGGGCUAAUACCGGAUAGGAGCUCCUGCUGCAUGGUGGGGGUUGGAAAGUUUCGGCGGUUGGGGAUGUACUCGCGGCUUAUCAGCUUGUUGGUGAGGUAGUGGCUUACCAAGGCUUUGACGGGUAGCCGGCCUGGGAGGGUGACCGGGCACAUAGGGACAGGGGUACGAGCCAGACGGAUUCGUGGGGAAGGGGCGGAGGAUAGAGCGCGAAGGGCGGAAGGCGGGUGGAGCGUCUUCGGAUGGUAGAUGUCGGUUGGUGGGGUAUAAACCGCGUGCGCGUGUAACGAAGCGUGAGUGACGGUAAUGAGUAAAGAAACAACGGCUAACUACGU